AACGAACGCUGGCGGCAGGCCUAACACAUGCAAGUCGAACGCCCUAGCAAUAGGGAGUGGCAGACGGGUGAGUAACACGUGGGAACCUUCCCUAUAGUACGGAAUAGCCCAGGGAAACUUGGAGUAAUACCGUAUACGCCCGAGAGGGGAAAGAUUUAUCGCUAUAGGAUGGGCCCGCGUCGGAUUAGCUAGUUGGUGAGGUAAUGGCUCACCAAGGCAACGAUCCGUAGCUGGUUUGAGAGAAUGACCAGCCACACUGGGACUGAGACACGGCCCAGACUCCUCCGGGAGGCAGCAGUGGGGAAUCUUGGACAAUGGGCGAAAGCCUGAUCCAGCCAUGCCGCGUGAGUGAUGAAGGCCUUAGGGUUGUAAAGCUCUUUUGGCGGGGACGAUAAUGACGGUACCCGCAGAAUAAGUCCCGGCUAACUUCGUGCCAGCAGCCGCCGUAACAC
rnacentral:rRNA from 1 species